rnacentral:rRNA from 1 species
CCGAGAUCUACACGUAAGGAGUCGUCGGCAGCGUCAGAUGUGUAUAAGAGACAGGCCCAGAUCGUCAGCUAAGGUCCCUAAAUGUAAGUUAAGUGGUAAAGGAUGUGGGAUUGCACAGACAACCAGGAUGUUGGCUUAGAAGCAGCCACUCAUUCAAAGAGUGCGUAAUAGCUCACUGGUCGAGUGAUCCUGCGCCGAAGAUUUCCGGGGCUAAAACUUACUACCGAAGCUACGGCAUCAGUAAUGAUGGGUAGGGGAGCUUCCCAUACGGGUUGAAGCAUGACCGUAAGGACAUGUGGACAGUAUGGGAGUGAGAAUGUUGGCAUGAGUAGCGAGAUGUGGGUGAGAAUCCCACAGGCCGUAAACCCAAGGUUUCCAGGGGAAGGUUCGUCCGCCCUGGGUUAGUCGGGACCUAAGCUGAGGCCGAAAGGCGUAGGUGAUGGACAACAGGUUGAUAUUCCUGUACUACCGAUAACCGUUUGAGAGAAGGGAUGACACAGUAGGAUAAGCUAAGCACACUGUUGGUUAUGUGUGCCCAAGCAUUGAGGCAGUCAAAGUAGGCAAAUCCGCUUUGAUAAUGCUGGGAUGUGAUGGGGAGCGAAAUUUAGUAGCGAAGUAGCUGAUUUCACACUGUCAAGAAAAGUCUCUAUCGAGGUUAAAGGUACCCGUACCGCAAACCGACACAGGUGGGUGAGGAGAGUAUCCUAAGGCCAGCGAGAGAACUGUUGUUAAGGAACUCGGCAAAAUGACCCCGUAACUUAGGGAUAAGGGGUGCCACCAUCAGGUGGCCGCAGAGAAUAGGCCCAAGCGACUGUUUACCAAAAACAUAGGUUUCUGCUAAGUCGCAAGACGAUGUAUAGGAGCUGACGCCUGCCCGGUGCUGGAAGGUUAAGGGGAUCUGUUAGAGCAAUCGAAGCAGUGAACUUAAGCCCCAGUAAACGGCGGCCGUAACUAUAACGGUCCUAAGGUAGCGAAAUUCCUUGUCGGGUAAGUUCCGACCCGCACGAAAGGCGUAACGAUUUGGGCACUGUCUCAACAACAGACUCGGUGAAAUUGUAAUUCCGGUGAAGAUGCCGGAUACCUGCGACAGGACGGAAAGACCCCAUGGAGCUUUACUGUAGCUUGACAUUGGGUCUUGGUACUACAUGUACAGGAUAGGUGGGAGGCUUUGAAACCAGGACGCCAGUUUUGGCGGAGCCAUCCUUGGGAUACCACCCUUGUAGUACUGGGACUCUAACCAUAGGCCAUGAAUCUGGUCUUGGGACACUGUCAGGUGGGCAGUUUGACUGGGGCGGUCGCCUCCCAAAAGGUAACGGAGGCGCUCAAAGGUUCUCUCAGUACGGUCGGAAAUCGUACGUAGAGUGUAAAGGCAAAAGAGAGCUUGAUUGCAAGACAUACAGGUCGAGCAAGGAUGAAAAUCGGACUUAGUGAUCCGGUGGUUCUGCGUGGAAGGGCCAUCGCUCAACGGAUAAAAGCUACCCUGGGGAUAACAGGCUUAUCUCCCCCAAGAGUCCACAUCGACGGGGAGGUUUGGCACCUCGAUGUCGGCUCAUCACAUCCUGGGGCUGUAGUAGGUCCCAAGGGUUGGGCUGUUCGCCCAUUAAAGUGGUACGCGAGCUGGGUUCAGAACGUCGUGAGACAGUUCGGUCCCUAUCCGUCGCAGGCGUAGGAAAUUUGAGAAGACCUGUCCUUAGUACGAGAGGACCGGGAUGGACGUACCUCUGGUGUACCAGUUG